rnacentral:rRNA from 1 species
UUCCGGUUGAUCCCGCCGGACCUGCGCCAAUCGGUCCAUCCUUCGCGGCGGCUGGUGAUCCUUGGCCAGUCACCGCCAACUCGAAGGAACUGGGAGGCGAGAUUCCCAUCCCGGCUCCAGCCGAUCUGGGAGAUCUGUCCGGUUUUGCCGCGGGCUUCAAAGCACCGAUCGCCAUGGCCGACGGCAAGCGGUUCAAGCCGGGCAAGGCGUACAAGGACAGCAAGCUCUGCAACAUGAUCACCACCCAGGAGUUGCACCGCCGUCUACACCAGGACACCGGCAUUGUGUUCACAUCGCUCUAUCCGGGCUGCGUGGCCGAUACCCCCCUGUUCCGCAACACUCCCCAGGCCUUCCAGACGAUCUUCCCCUGGUUCCAGAAGACAAUCACCGGUGGCUAUGUGAGCCAGGCCCUGGCCGGUGAGCGGGUGGCCCAGGUGGUGGCCGAUCCAGACUUUGCGGUGUCGGGCGUGCAUUGGAGCUGGGGCAACCGUCAGAGCAAGGGUGGCAAACAGUUCAGCCAGGAGCUCUCCGAUAAGGCCAGCAAUCCGGAAACGGCACGCCUCACCUGGGAGUAUUCGAUGAAGCUGGUGGGGCUGGNCUGACAUGGNCCUGCGGCCGGCGGCAAUCUUGGCA